rnacentral:rRNA from 1 species
AGCGAACGCUGGCGGCAGGCCUAACACAUGCAAGUCGAACGGAUCCUUCGGGAUUAGUGGCGGACGGGUGAGUAACACGUGGGAACGUGCCCUUUAGUUCGGAACAACUCAGGGAAACUUGAGCUAAUACCGGAUGUGCCCUUCGGGGGAAAGAUUUAUCGCCAUUGGAGCGGCCCGCGUCUGAUUAGCUAGUUGGUGAGGUAACGGCCCACCAAGGCGACGAUCAGUAGCUGGUCUGAGAGGAUGAUCAGCCACACUGGGACUGAGACACGGCCCAGACUCCUACGGGAGGCAGCAGUGGGGAAUCUUGCGCAAUGGGCGAAAGCCUGACGCAGCCAUGCCGCGUGAAUGAUGAAGGUCUUAGGAUUGUAAAAUUCUUUCAGCGGGGACGAUAAUGACGGUACCCGCAGAAGAAGCUCCGGCUAACUUCGUG